rnacentral:tRNA from 1 species
GCCUGGCUGGCUUAGUUGGUGGAGCAUGUGACUCUUGAUCUCAGGGUUGUGAGUUUGAGCUCACGCCGGGCA